rnacentral:misc_RNA from 1 species
UUUAAAGUCCACAACUCAUCAAGGAAAAUGAAAGUCAAAGUUGGCAGCUUACUUAAACUUAAUCACAGCCUUUAAUGUAAAGACAUCAAGCUAAUCUACGUAAGUUAAUAUACCAUAUCUACGUAGAUUAGCUUGAUGUCUUUGUACCUAAAGUGCCUAACAUCAUUAUUUAAUUUUUUUUUUUUUUGGCACACGAAUAACCAUGCCGUUUUGGAUCUUUUAAAGUCCACAACUCAUCAAGGAAAAUGAAAGUCAAAGUUGGCAGCUUACUUAAACUUAAUCACAGCCUUUAAUGUGCAUCGUACAGACAUCAACACGUAAGUUAAUAUACCAUAUCUACGUGUUGAUGUCUGUACGAUGCGUACCUAAAGUGCCUAACAUCAUUAUUUAAUUUUUUUUUUUUUUGGCACACGAAUAACCAUGCCGUUUUGGAUCUUUUAAAGUCCACAACUCAUCAAGGAAAAUGAAAGUCAAAGUUGGCAGCUUACUUAAACUUAAUCACAGCCUUUAAUGUGGAUACGCUACCAAGACUCAAUUAAGUUAAUAUACCAUAUCUAAUUGAGUCUUGGUAGCGUAUCCGUACCUAAAGUGCCUAACAUCAUUAUUUAAUUUUUUUUUUUUUUGGCACACGAAUAACCAUGCCGUUUU